rnacentral:rRNA from 1 species
UGCAGAAUCCCGUGAACCAUCGAGUCUUUGAACGCAAGUUGCGCCCGAAGCCAUCAGGUUGAGGGCACGUCUGCCUGGGCGUCACAUAUCGUUGCCCGAUGCCUAUUGCAGUGCAAUAGGAAUUUCUAGGGCGAAUGAUGGCUUCCCGUGAGCUUAGUUGCCUCACGGUUGGUUGAAAAUUGAGUCCUUGGUAGGGUGUGCCAUGAUAGAUGGUGGUCGAGUUCGCACGAUACCGAUCAUGUGCAUGCUCCCCAAAAUAUGGCCUCUAUGACCCACACGUGUCUUUUGACGCUCAUGACGAGACCUCAGGUCAGGCGGGGCUACCCGCUGAAUUUAAGCAUAUCAAUAAGCGGAGGAAAAGAAACUAACAAGGAUUCCCUUAGUAACGGCGAGCGAACCGGGAAGAGCCCACCAUGAAAAUCGGCCGCCCUCGGCGUUCGA